AUUGAACGCUGGCGGCAGGCCUAACACAUGCAAGUCGAGCGGAUGAAGGGAGCUUGCUCCUGGAUUCAGCGGCGGACGGGUGAGUAAUGCCUAGGAAUCUGCCUGGUCGUGGGGGAUAACGUCCGGAAACGGGCGCUAAUACCGCAUACGUCCUGAGGGAGAAAGUGGGGGAUCUUCGGACCUCACGCUAUCAGAUGAGACUAGGUCGGAUUAGCUAGUUGGUGGGGUAAAGGCCUACCAAGGCGACGAUCCGUAACUGGUCUGAGAGGAUGAUCAGUCACACUGGAACUGAGACACGGUCCAGACUCCUACGGGAGGCAGCAGUGGGGAAUAUUCGACAAUGGGCGAAAGCCUGAUCCAGCCAUGCCGCGUGUGUGAAGAAGGUCUUCGGAUUGUAAAGCACUUUAAGUUGGGAAGAAGGGCAGUAAGUUAAUACCUUGCUGUUUUGACGGUACCAACAGAGUAAGCACCGGCUAACUUCGUG
rnacentral:rRNA from 1 species